GAUGAACGCUGGCGGCGUGCCUAAUACAUGCAAGUCGAGCGAACAGACGAGGAGCUUGCUCCUCUGACGUUAGCGGCGGACGGGUGAGUAACACGUGGAUAACCUACCUAUAAGACUGGGAUAACUUCGGGAAACCGGAGCUAAUACCGGAUAAUAUAUUGAACCGCAUGGUUCAAUAGUGCAAGACGGUUUUCCUGUCACUUAUAGAUGGAUCCGCGCCGCAUUAGCUAGUUGGUAAGGUAACGGCUUACCAAGGCAACGAUGCGUAGCCGACCUGAGAGGGUGAUCGGCCACACUGGAACUGAGACACGGUCCAGACUCCUACGGGAGGCAGCAGUAGGGAAUCUUCCGCAAUGGGCGAAAGCUUGACGGGGCAACGCCGCGUGAGUGAUGAAGGUCUUCGGAUCGUAAAACUCUGUUAUUAGGGAAGAACAAAUGUGUAAGUAACUAUGCACGUCUUGACGGUACCUAAUCAGAAAGCCACGGCUAACUACGUG
rnacentral:rRNA from 1 species